rnacentral:misc_RNA from 1 species
GAUGAAGAACGCAUCGAAAUGCGAUAAGUAAUGUGAAUUGCAGAAUUCAGUGAAUCAUCGAAUCUUUGAACGCACAUUGCGCCCCCUGGUAUUCCGGGGGGCAUGCCUGUUCGAGCGUCAUUUCAACCCUCAAGCUCUGCUUGGUAUUGAGUCCAUGUCAGCAAUGGCAGGCUCCAAAAUCAGUGGCGGCGCCGCUGGGUCCUGAACGUAGUAAUAUCUCUCGUUACAGGUGCUCGGCGUGCUUCUGCCAAAACCCCAAUUUUUCUAUGGUUGACCUCGGAUCAGGUAGGGAUACCCGCUGAACUUAAGCAUAUCAAUAAGCGGAGGA